rnacentral:tRNA from 1 species
GAGAGAUGGUCGAGUGGUCGAAGGCGCAGCAUUGGAAAUGCUGUGAGGGGGUAACCCCUCCGAGGGUUCGAAUCCCUCUCUCUCC